UGGCGAACGGGUGAGUAACGCGUGAGGAACCUGCCUCAAAGAGGGGGACAACAGUUGGAAACGACUGCUAAUACCGCAUAAGCCCACGGGUCGGCAUCGACCUGAGGGAAAAGGAGCAAUCCGCUUUGAGAUGGCCUCGCGUCCGAUUAGCUAGUUGGUGAGGUAACGGCCCCCCAAGGCGACGAUCGGUAGCCGGACUGAGAGGUUGAACGGCCACAUUGGGACUGAGACACGGCCCAG
rnacentral:rRNA from 1 species